rnacentral:rRNA from 1 species
GAUGAACACUAGCGGCAGGCCUAACACAUGCAAGUCGAGGGGUAGAACACUUCGGUGUUUGAGACCGGCGCACGGGUGCGUAACGCGUAUGCAAUCUACCUUGUACAGGGGAAUAGCCCAGAGAAAUUUGGAUUAAUGCCCCAUAGUAUAUAACAUUCGCAUGUUGGUUAUAUUAAAGUUCCAACGGUACAAGAUGAGCAUGCGUCCCAUUAGUUAGUUGGUAAGGUAACGGCUUACCAAGACGAUGAUGGGUAGGGGUCCUGAGAGGGAGAUCCCCCACACUGGUACUGAGACACGGACCAGACUCCUACGGGAGGCAGCAGUGAGGAAUAUUGGUCAAUGGGCGCAAGCCUGAACCAGCCAUGCCGCGUGCAGGAAGACGGUCCUAUGGAUUGUAAACUGCUUUUAUACAGGAAGAAACAACUCCACGUGUAGAGUCUUGACGGUACUGUAGGAAUAAGGAUCGGCUAACUCCGUGCCAGCAGCCGCAGUAAGAC